GACGAACGCUGGCGGCGUGCUUAACACAUGCAAGUCGAACGGAAAGGCCAGUGCUUUCACUGGUACUCGAGUGGCUAACGGGUGAGUAACACGUGGGUGAUCUGCCUUCCACUCUGGGAUAAGCUUGGGAAACUGGGUCUAAUACCUGAUAUGAACUGCCUUUUGUGUGGUGGUUGGAUAGUUUUUUCGGUGCAGGAUGAUCUCGCGGCUCAUCAGCUUGUUGGUGGGGUAAUGGCCUACUAAGGGGUCGACUGGUAGCCGGCCUGAGAGGGUGUAAGGCCACAUUGGGACUGAGAAGCGGCCAAGACUCAUACGGGAGGAAGGAGUGGGGAAUAGUGCAAGAUGGGCGGAAGCAGGAUGCAGCGACGCCGCGUGGGGGAUGACGGCCUUCGGGGUGUAAACGCCUUUCGACAGGGACGAAGAGUAAGUGACGGUACCUGUAUAAGAAGCACCGGCUAACUACGUG
rnacentral:rRNA from 1 species